rnacentral:tRNA from 1 species
GCGAGAAUGGCGGAAAUGGCAGACGCGCUAGACUUAGGAUCUAGUCCUUUCGAGGGUGUGGGUUCAACUCCCACUUCUCGCACCA